GAUGAAAGAUCUGUAUGCAGGCAGUAAGACUUCAGCGACUGCAAGCCUCAAUGACUCUCGUAGCUCGGUGUCUGGGACUGUCCAUUGACUUUGUCUUUGAUGAAGAUCCUCAAAUUGAAUAUUGAAUGUCUUCAACCUUUCUUUUACAAGCGCUCUUGAUACUCCACUGCUAUUUUGCCCAUCUACACCCAUAGAGUUACUUCCCCCAGAUGAUGUUAGCCCUUGAAUC
rnacentral:misc_RNA from 1 species